AGGAGAGAGAAACCGUGAGGGAGAGAGAGAGAGAGAGAGAGAGAUAUGAAGCCUAUUCAAUCAUCUUUGCUGGGAGGAAUUUGAUGGGAAGUUAAGAACUAAAGAUAAAGAAAGAUCUUGAAGAUUAAUAGGUCACGCGCCAUUAUCUGCCUGAUUUAUCUGAUAUGUCCAGUCCGUCUGAUUUGCUUCUGCGACUAUCUGUGAUUAGGCGUGUGACCAGGCUUAAAGGCAUCUGCCUAGAAUCUGUUUUUGUCAGCCAGCCUACGUGCCUUCCGUGGAGGUUCCGAAUAUGUCAAGUGAUUACGACCAUAUGAUUUAAAGUUUAAGUUUUGUUUUCGUGUUUGGUUGAACAAGUCUUGCGUAUUUUGUAAAUAGGGCUAAGUCCCUUUUUGUCUAAUCUGUAUAUAUAUAAUGACUUGAGGAUGA